UGUGCGCCGUAAUUUAUACAC
rnacentral:siRNA from 1 species